CGGAGAGGGCGCCUGAGCACCUUGAUACCACAUCCAAGGAAGGCAGCAGGCGCGCAAAUUACUUAAUCCCAACACGGGGAGGUAGUGACAAUAUGUAACAAUAUACGGCCUUAUACGUCGUAUAAUUGGAAUGAGUACAACUUAAAUCCCUUAACGAGGAACAAUUGGAGGGCAAGUCUGGUGCCAGCAGCCGCGGUAAUUCCAGCUCCAAUAGCGUAUAUUAAAGUUGUUGCAGUUAAAAAGCUCGUAGUUGGACCUUGGACCUGGACAGGCGGUCCGCCUCACGGCGAGUACUGUCUUGCUGGGUCUUUCCUCUUGGUGAUCUGUUGUUUCGGCAGCAGGGAACCAGGACCUUUACUUUGAUUAUAUUAGAGUGUUCAAAGCACGCUCGACGCCGGAAUAUAUUAUCAUGGAAUAAUAAAAUAGGACGUGCGGUUCUAUUUUGUUGGUUUUUGGAAUCUCCGUAAUGAUUAAUAGGGACAGUCGGGGGCAUUAGUACUCAAAUGCUAAAGGUGAAAUUCUUGGAUUUUGUGAAGACUACCUUCUGCGAAAGCAUUUGCCAAGGAUGUUUUCAUUAAUCAAGAUCGAAGGUUAGGGUUAU
rnacentral:rRNA from 1 species